rnacentral:rRNA from 1 species
GAAGAACCUUACCUGGCCUUGACAUGUAACGAACUUUCCAGAGAUGGAUUGGUGCUCGAAAGAGAGCGUUAACACAGGUGCUGCAUGGCUGUCGUCAGCUCGUGUCGUGAGAUGUUGGGUUAAGUCCCGCAACGAGCGCAACCCUUGCCAUUAAUUGCCAUCAUUUAGUUGGGCACUUUAAUGGGACUGCCGGUGACAAACCGGAGGAAGGUGGGGAUGACGUCAAGUCCUCAUGGCCCUUAUGGCCAGGGCUUCACACGUAAUACAAUGGUCGGUACAGAGGGUUGCCAAGCCGCGAGGUGGAGCCAAUCCCAGAAAGCCGAUCGUAGUCCGGAUUGUAGUCUGCAACUCGACUACAUGAAGUCGGAAUCGCUAGUA